rnacentral:pre_miRNA from 1 species
AUACAGGGCUUUUCCUGGGAUCAAUGACCAUCUGGGGGUCAUCAUCUCCUCCAAGUUAGUUAUUAAUCCUUAGGAAACACUUGGUGCUUU